GUACACUCCUACGGGAGGCAGCAGUGGGGAAUAUUGCACAAUGGGCGCAAGCCUGAUGCAGCCAUGCCGCGUGUAUGAAGAAGGCCUUCGGGUUGUAAAGUACUUUCAGCGGGGAGGAAGGCGAUAAGGUUAAUAACCUUGUCGAUUGACGUUACCCGCAGAAGAAGCACCGGCUAACUCCGUGCCAGCAGCCGCGGUAAUACGGAGGGUGCAAGCGUUAAUCGGAAUUACUGGGCGUAAAGCGCACGCAGGCGGUCUGUCAAGUCGGAUGUGAAAUCCCCGGGCUCAACCUGGGAACUGCAUUCGAAACUGGCAGGCUAGAGUCUUGUAGAGGGGGGUAGAAUUCCAGGUGUAGCGGUGAAAUGCGUAGAGAUCUGGAGGAAUACCGGUGGCGAAGGCGGCCCCCUGGACAAAGACUGACGCUCAGGUGCGAAAGCGUGGGGAGCAAACAGGAUUAGAUACCCCUGUAGUCCCAUG
rnacentral:rRNA from 1 species